GAUGAACGCUGACAGAAUGCUUAACACAUGCAAGUCAACUUGAAGCAGUUUCGGCUGUGGAUGGUGGCGGACGGGUGAGUAACGCGUAAAUAACUUGCCCUUUAGACUGGGACAACUGUUGGAAACGACAGCUAAUACCGGAUAUUAUGAAACCUUGACAUCAAGGGAUUAUGAAAGCUAUAUGCGCUAGAGGAGAGAUUUGCGUCCUAUUAGCUAGUUGGUGAGGUAAUGGCUCACCAAGGCGACGAUAGGUAGCCGGCCUGAGAGGGUGAACGGCCACAAGGGGACUGAGACACGGCCCUUACUCCUACGGGAGGCAGCAGUGGGGAAUAUUGGACAAUGGACCAAGAGUCUGAUCCAGCAAUUCUGUGUGUUUGAUGAAGGCCUUCGGGUUGUAAAGAACUUUAAGUAGGGAAGAAGAAAGUGACGGUACCUACAGAAUAAGCGACGGCUAAAUACGUGCCAGCCGCCGCCGUAA
rnacentral:rRNA from 1 species